rnacentral:rRNA from 1 species
GACAGAGGUGGCUAGCGUUGUUCGGAUUUAUUGGGCGUAAAGCGAACGCAGGUGGUUUGGUAAGUCAGGGGUGAAAGUCCGCAGCUUAACUGCGGCACUGCCUUUGAUACUGCCUUUCUUGAGUGCAUGAGGGGGAAGCGGAAUUCCGAGUGUAGAGGUGAAAUUCGUAGAUAUUCGGAGGAACACCGGUGGCGAAGGCGGCUUCCUGGCAUGUAACUGACACUCAUGUUCGAAAGCGUGGGUAGCAAACAGGAUUAGAUACCCUGGUAGUCCACGCCCUAAACGAUGGGCACUAGGUGUGGGAGGUAUCGACCCCUUCCGUGCCGCAGCUAACGCAUUAAGUGCCCCGCCUGGGGAGUACGGCCGCAAGGUUGAAACUUAAAGGAAUUGACGG